rnacentral:rRNA from 1 species
CCUACGGGGGGCUGCAGUGGGGAAUUUUACGCAAUGGGGGAAACCCUGACGUAGCGACACCGCGUGAGCGAUGAAGCCCCUUGGGGUGUAAAGCUCUGUCGGCUGGGACGAAAAAAAUGACGGUACCAGCAAAGGAAGCAUCGGCUAACUACGUGCCAGCAGCCGCGGUAAGACGUAGGAUGCAAGCGUUGUCCGGAUUCAUUGGGCGUAAAGCGUUCGUAGGUGGUUUAUUAAGUCUGAUGUUAAAGAUCGGGGCUCAACCUCGGGAGUGCAUUGGAUACUGGUAGACUUGAGUAUGGUAGAGGCGAGUGGAAUUCCCAGUGUAGCGGUGAAAUGCGUAGAUAUUGGGAAGAACACCGGUGGCGUAAGCGACUCGCUGGGCCAUAACUGACACUGAGGAACGAAAGCCAGGGGAGCAAAUGGGAUUAGAUACCCCUGUAGUC